ACUUUAUACUGUGAAACUGCGAAUGGCUCAUUAAAUCAGUUAUCGUUUAUUUGAUAGUACCUUACUACAUGGAUACCUGUGGUAAUUCUAGAGCUAAUACAUGCUAAAAACCUCGACUUCGGAAGGGGUGUAUUUAUUAGAUAAAAAACCAAUGCCCUUCGGGGCUCCUUGGUGAAUCAUAAUAACUUAACGAAUCGCAUGGCCUUGCGCCGGCGAUGGUUCAUUCAAAUUUCUGCCCUAUCAACUUUCGAUGGUAGGAUAGUGGCCUACCAUGGUGGCAACGGGUAACGGGGAAUUAGGGUUCGAUUCCGGAGAGGGAGCCUGAGAAACGGCUACCACAUCCAAGGAAGGCAGCAGGCGCGCAAAUUACCCAAUCCCGACACGGGGAGGUAGUGACAAUAAAUACUGAUACGGGGCUCUUUUGGGUCUCGUAAUUGGAAUGAGUACAAUCUAAAUCCCUUAACGAGGAACAAUUGGAGGGCAAGUCUGGUGCCAGCAGCCGCGGUAAUUCCAGCUCCAAUAGCGUAUAUUAAAGUUGUUGCAGUUAAAAAGCUCGUAGUUGAACCUUGGGUCUGGCUGGCCGGUCCGCCUCACCGCGAGUACUGGUCCGGCUGGACCUUUCCUUCUGGGGAACCUCAUGGCCUUCACUGGCUGUGGGGGGAACCAGGACUUUUACUGUGAAAAAAUUAGAGUGUUCAAAGCAGGCCUUUGCUCGAAUACAUUAGCAUGGAAUAAUAGAAUAGGACGUGCGGUUCUAUUUGGUUGGUUUCUAGGACCGCCGUAAUGAUUAAUAGGGAUAGUCGGGGGCGUCAGUAUUCAGCUGUCAGAGGUGAAAUUCUUGGAUUUGCUGAAGACUAACUACUGCGAAAGCAUUCGCCAAGGAUGUUUUCAUUAAUCAGGGAACGAAAGUUAGGGGAUCGAAGACGAUCAGAUACCGUCGUAGUCUUAACCAUAAACUAUGCCGACUAGGGAUCGGGCGGUGUUUCUAUAAUGACCCGCUCGGCACCUUACGAGAAAUCAAAGUUUUUGGGU
rnacentral:rRNA from 1 species